rnacentral:rRNA from 1 species
GAUGAACGCUGGCGGCGUGCCUAAUACAUGCAAGUCGAGCGAACAGAUGAGGAGCUUGCUCCUCUGACGUUAGCGGCGGACGGGUGAGUAACACGUGGAUAACCUACCUAUAAGACUGGGAUAACUUCGGGAAACCGGAGCUAAUACCGGAUAAUAUAUUGAACCGCAUGGUUCAAUAGUGAAAGACGGUUUUGCUGUCACUUAUAGAUUGAUCCGCGCCGCAUUAGCUAGUUGGUAAGGUAACGGCUUACCAAGGCAACGAUGUGUAGCCGACCUGAGAGGGUGAUCGGCCACACUGGAACUGAGACACGGUCCAGACUCCUACGGGAGGCAGCAGUAGGGAAUCUUCCGCAAUGGGCGAAAGCCUGACGGAGCAACGCCGCGUGAGUGAUGAAGGUCUUCGGAUCGUAAAACUCUGUUAUUAGGGAAGAACAAAUGUGUAAGUAACUAUGCACGUCUUGACGGUACCUAAUCAGAAAGCCACGGCUAACUACGUG